rnacentral:snoRNA from 1 species
UCCCUAUGAGGAAGUCAUCCCAAAAGAUAGGAAGUGCCGUAUGACACUUUAAGCAGCAGCGGUCAC